AACUUUCAACAAUGGAUCUCUUGGUUCUGGCAUCGAUGAAGAACGCAGCGAAAUGCGAUAAGUAAUGUGAAUUGCAGAAUUCCGUGAAUCAUCGAAUCUUUGAACGCACAUUGCGCCCCCUGGUAUUCCGGGGGGCAUGCCUGUUCGAGCGUCAUUG
rnacentral:rRNA from 1 species